rnacentral:rRNA from 1 species
AUGAACGCUAGCUACAGGCUUAACACAUGCAAGUCGAGGGGCAGCAUGAACUUAGCUUGCUAAGUUUGAUGGCGACCGGCGCACGGGUGAGUAACACGUAUCCAACCUGCCGAUGACUCGGGGAUAGCCUUUCGAAAGAAAGAUUAAUACCCGAUGGCAUAGUUCUUCCGCAUGGUGGAACUAUUAAAGGAUUUCGGUCAUCGAUGGGGAUGCGUUCCAUUAGGUUGUUGGCGGGGUAACGGCCCACCAAGCCUUCGAUGGAUAGGGGUUCUGAGAGGAAGGUCCCCCACAUUGGAACUGAGACACGGUCCAAACUCCUACGGGAGGCAGCAGUGAGGAAUAUUGGUCAAUGGACGAGAGUCUGAACCAGCCAAGUAGCGUGAAGGAUGACUGCCCUAUGGGUUGUAAACUUCUUUUAUACGGGAAUAAAGUGAGGCACGUGUGCCUUUUUGUAUGUACCGUAUGAAUAAGGAUCGGCUAACUCCGUGCCAGCAGCCGCGGUAAUACGGAGGAUCCGAGCGUUAUCCGGAUUUAUUGGGUUUAAAGGGAGCGUAGGCGGACGCUUAAGUCAGUUGUGAAAGUUUGCGGCUCAACCGUAAAAUUGCAGUUGAUACUGGGUGUCUUGAGUACAGUAGAGGCAGGCGGAAUUCGUGGUGUAGCGGUGAAAUGCUUAGAUAUCACGAAGAACUCCGAUUGCGAAGGCAGCCUGCUGGACUGUAACUGACGCUGAUGCUCGAAAGUGUGGGUAUCAAACAGGAUUAGAUACCCUGGUAGUCCACACAGUAAACGAUGAAUACUCGCUGUUUGCGAUAUACAGUAAGCGGCCAAGCGAAAGCGUUAAGUAUUCCACCUGGGGAGUACGCCGGCAACGGUGAAACUCAAAGGAAUUGACGGGGGCCCGCACAAGCGGUGGAGUAUGUGGUUUAAUUCGACGCAACGCGAAGAACCUUACCAGGUCUUGACAUUGAUCGCGAUCUGCAGAAAUGCGGAGUUCUUCUUCGGAAGACGAGAAAACAGGUGGUGCACGGCUGUCGUCAGCUCGUGUCGUGAGAUGUUGGGUUAAGUCCCGCAACGAGCGCAACCCUUAUUGCCAGUUACUACGAAAGAGGACUCUGGCGAGACUGCCGUUGACAAAACGGAGGAAGGUGGGGAUGACGUCAAAUCAUCAUGCCCCUUAUGACCUGGGCUACACACGUACUACAAUGGCUGUAACAGAGGGAAGCAACAUAGAGAUGUGAAGCAAAUCCCAAAAAGCAGUCUCAGUUCGGAUUGAAGGCUGAAAUUCGCCUUCAUGAAGCCGGAAUUGCUAGUAAUGGCAGGUCAGCAUACUGCCGUGAAUACGUUCCCGGGCCUUGUACACACCGCCCGUCACACCAUGAGAGUUGGAAAUACCCGAAGCCUGUGAGCUAACCUAUGAGGCAGCAGUCGAAGGUAGAGCCAAUGAUUGGGGUG